rnacentral:rRNA from 1 species
ACUCUUGGACAGCCUUCUGAAAGGAAGAUUAAUACAAGAUGGCAUCAUGAGUUCACAUGUUCACAUGAUUAAAGGUAUUCCGGUAGACGAUGGGGAUGCGUUCCAUUAGAUAGUAGGCGGGGUAACGGCCCACCUAGUCUUCGAUGGAUAGGGGUUCUGAGAGGAAGGUCCCCCACAUUGGAACUGAGACACGGUCCAAACUCCUACGGGAGGCAGCAGUGAGGAAUAUUGGUCAAUGGGCGAGAGCCUGAACCAGCCAAGUAGCGUGAAGGAUGACUGCCCUAUGGGUUGUAAACUUCUUUUAUAAAGGAAUAAAGUCGGGUAUGGAUACCCGUUUGCAUGUACUUUAUGAAUAAGGAUCGGCUAACUCCGUGCCAGCAGCCGCGGUAAUACGGAGGAUCUGAGCGUUAUCCGGAUUUAUUGGGUUUAAAGGGAGCGUAGAUGGAUGUUUAAGUCAGUUGUGAAAGUUUGCGGCUCAACCGUAAAAUUGCAGUUGAUACUGGAUAUCUUGAGUGCAGUUGAGGCAGGCGGAAUUCGUGGUGUAGCGGUGAAAUGCUUAGAUAUCACGAAGAACUCCGAUCGCGAAGGCAGCCUGCUAAGCUGCAACUGACAUUGAGGCUCGAAAGUGUGGGUAUCAAACAGGAUUAGAUACCCUGGUAGUCCACACGGUAAACGA